rnacentral:tRNA from 2 species
GGACAGGUGGCCGAGAGGCUGAAGGCGCUCGCCUGCUAAGCGAGUAUGGGGUAAUAAAGCUCCAUCGCGGGUUCGAAUCCCGCCCUGUCCG